rnacentral:snRNA from 1 species
UAAAGCACUAUAUCAUACUG